UAAUAUAGUAAUAAUUAUACCUCAAUUAUAAUUAUUAUUUACAUAUUAACGACAAACAAUUCCGAUUAAGUAUCUCAAAUUUGAUUUGAUUGACAUUGUCAUAACGUGUAUACAGUGAUUCUAAAAUAAAUUAUUUUUGUAAAGCCAUUUCUUGAUCAAUCAGAUUGAUUAAAUUUUUCCCUUACAAAGACAAAUUAAGAUGUUAACUUGAGAAUUACAUGACAAAAACUGUUAUGCCAAAAAGAAUACACUUUAUUUAAAAACUCACUAAUUUAUCUUAGAAGCAGUGAUACAGCCCCUAAAGAAAUGCUGAAAUAGUUAUCAAACUUGAUCAGAGUCGAUAAUGUAGAAUCAUUAGUGCACAUCAUUAACAAGAUUUCGUAUGUAUUUCUUUUAUAGAUUUGGAUAUCCUUUUUCAGAACUAAAGUACACGUAUUAAUAUUAGUUUGUAAAUUGGACUACGAGGUUUGUUAAAAAAAAAAGGUGACUUUUCAAAUUUCGCGGGCUAUGUACAUUCGAUUUUCGAAUUGUUUUUGUUUUUGUGUUGGUACACAUGUCCCCAACAUAUGUUAACACUAUCAGUCAUUUUGCAUUUUUAAUUUGUUUUCGACAGAUAUAAAGGUUAGGUGUUUUGGUGUGCUUGGCGAUUUUUUUCUAUUAAAAAAAUGGAUCAAAGAAAUAUUAAAUUUUGUGUGAAAAAUAAAAUUAAGUGCUCCGACGCAUUUAAAAUGUUGACUGUGGCAUUUGGCGAGUCUACUUUAAGCAAAAAAAGUGUUUACAAGUGGUACAACCUCUUCACAGAAGGCCGAGAAGAUGUUAAUGAUGAUGCCCGUCCUGGACGCCCCAGCAAGUCAACAACCGAUGAAAACGUUGAAGCAGUGAAGAAAAUUGUUAAGGAGAAUCGUCGUAUGGUCAAUAAGGAAUAUUACCUUGAAGUUAUGCGCCGUUUACGUGAAGCAAUACGAAAAAAACGCCCGGAAAUGUGGAACAACCAGUCAUGGAUAUUGCACCACGAUAAUGCGCCAUCAUUGCUUGUUCGUGAUUUUUUGGCCAAAAACACCGUAAUCAUGCCUCAGCCACCGUAUUCACCGGACUUGACCCCCUGCAACUUUUUCCCGUUCCCAAAACUGAAAAGACCCAUGAAAGGACGGAGGUUUGCCACGAUUGAGGAGAUAAAGAUCGCAUCGCUAGAAGAGCUCAAGACCAUACCAAAAAGCGCAUAUCAGUGCUUCGAGGAUUGGAAAAGCGCUGGCACAAGUGUAUGAUAUCUGAGGGAGAUUACUUUAAAGGGGACAACAUUGAUAUUGAUAAAUAAAUAUUUUUCGAGAAAAAUAAAAAGUCACCUUUUUUUUAACCUCGUAUACUGAGAAAAAAAAUUGUUUUGUGUUGCUCUAGUUAUCGAUUUUUCACGCGUAUGUAACCUAAAGUUUCGUAGAUCGACUUUGUCUCAAUUAAGCAUCAAAGUUCAACUUUAAGAACUUCAUAUUAUUUGUACCUGUCAUCUACUAAUCUAAAAAUUCCUGAGUAUAAAUUGCUACGAUGUGACAGUUCCAGACAUCACAUUCGACUAAAAAUAUGCAAAUUAACAAUUUUUCAGUUUUCAGAAAACUCUAAUCUAGACUGGUAAUAAUGCGUAUGCUUUAAUUCUAGAAAAGGAUUUUCAAAUCUAUAAAAGAAAUAAAGAGAUUUGGCGUUACAAAAAUUAUUGUUUCAUUGUCGGUAAAACAGACGUCUCCAGCAUCCCUUUAAUUAUUAAGACUAGAACCAGGAGACCAAACUGUAAGCCUGAUUUUGCCUCCAAAUGUGAGGCGAAAAUCUGUUAGAAAUAUAGUAUCAAAUGGUGGCGCUGGUGACGAUGAUUCACCGAAAACAAUAUGAAGUAUAUCAAUAAGCGGUUAAUUUAAAGCAACUUCAUAUUGUGAUGUUAUAUGUAAUUAUCGGGAUAUGAAAUUAAAUGGGGUCUUUUAAGCGUUUCGUGACAAACAUUUUCUUUCAUAUCCUCUCGAUAAUGGCUAACAUGUCUAUACAUAUUUUUUCGCAUAAAUGUAAUUAUAUUUAUACUCAAUUCAGCUUUCUCACACCAUACUGUGUACAUACAACCUAACACGGCCGACUACGAUAAACUUAAUUCACUUACACUUGACCGGAAGUGAAUGUUUUUUUAAAUAAUUGCUAUGUGUAAUCGUUUGUAUUUCGUAUGAAGAGGUUUGAAGUGCAAUUAAAAAGGUUUAUGAGUCAUUCGGUUAUUUGUAAUUAAUUUUUUUUUCACCCGAUACUUAGCCGGAAUAUAUUAAUUAAACAAAGUUAUGUAUUAUAUGGAAUCGUUUGAAGUUUGUAUGAAAAGUUAUAAAGUUUGAUUAAAAAAGUUUGUGAGUGAUCCAAAUACAUUUUAUUAAUUCGUGGAAGUUAGUCGAAAUUUAUUUACAAUAUGUAACAGCAUGAGCAUGCGCAGCGGUCACAUUUGCAUGCUCCUUAGCUGUAGAUGCAUGCUCUGGGCAGCAAUCAUGUAACUUUUUUCUUAAGGCGGAAACGUGAAAAGUGAAAAGUUUCAUGUAACUAUCUUUUUCUAUUGUGUUGAAUAAAAAGAGACAGUAACUUGAAACUUUUAACUUUUCACGUUUCCGCUCUAGAGGAAAAGUUACAUGAUCGAUACCCUGGGGGUCUAUUACGGUUCUUGGGUGAGUUCACUCACUGUGAAAAUGUGAAAAGUGAACAACAGUGAUUGGCGUAUAUCGUUAGUUCUAAAAGUAUACACCAAUCAGUGGAGGUAGUGCUGGAAAUGUGUAAAGUGAACUCACCUAAGAACCGUAAUAGACCCCCUGGUUCAGAGAGCACGUUUUUGGCGCUGUUAGCGUGCUUUAUCUUUCUUCAAUAUUCACUGAGCAACAAGGAUAUAAUGGUACUUUUAGUGCUAAUAGCGUCUCCCCGAACCCAGCCUCUGUAGGCACAAGUAUGCAAAAAGUGCGCGAAAUUCAAAUGUGUAUGUAUUAACGAGAAUCUUAAGCAUUUCGUUUUGCGUAGAAAGUCGCACACCUAUGUAGUGCAGAGAAUGCUUCGCUCGCACGCACGCACGCACGCACGCACACACACACACACACGGGCCCCCUUCUCGCACCUACCCCAUCCAAGUUGCUAACUCAUGUACACUGUAUUGGAAAUUUGCAAACACAUAUGAACUUUACUUUGUAAUGCACAUGGAUUAGCGACUUGGACGGGGCGGGUGUGGAAGGGAAGGGGGCGAAGACCCCCCUUACAACCGCCGCGCGCGCGCGCGAAGCAUUCUCUGCAUCACGUAGGUUUGCGACUCUCCACAUAAAACGAAAUGCUCGUAAAAAUACGUAAUUUGAAAUUUUCGCAUUUUUUGCAUGACUUGUGCUAGACCGAGCAUGCGCUUGUAGCCAAGAAGCAUGAGGAUGAGACCGCUGCGCAUGCUCAUGCUGUUACAUAUUAACACCGUCUUCAUCAUCCUCUAAUUCAGUCAAAAGUGUAGGUCCACCAGUAGUACGACCACCACCAGUACUAGAAGUCGCUACACCUCCACAGGAUUCCAAGAAAUCUUCAAGACUGACCUAGAAUCAUAAACAUUUGCGUAUUGUAUUAAGAUAAGACAUAAUCUAAUCUUUUUCAAAUAAACAA
rnacentral:misc_RNA from 1 species